UGUGUGGAUGUUCUUAUAUGAAUUUAUGCAGCAACACUAACUAUUGUGUCUGGCCUGCAGUGUUUGGAUAGUUUCUUCUUGUGGAAGCUGGGACAAUCCUUUGAACUUUUGGACUAUGCUCCGCGAGGCAUCGCUGUUUGAGAGGAUACAAUGGGCUUGCUUCAUAUGCUAGCAUGCUCUGCUUCUGGAUGGGUACUAUAUGAUGAUAGUGUUGUUAUAAAGGAUUCGUCCAGUGUAUAUUCUGGGACAAACGAUGGUUUGGUGAUGCUAUUAGUUCAUGAAAAGUUCAAGGAGGAUUUUUGAUAUUAUUUUAUUUUUAACGAGUCAUGCCAGUAAGCUUUAUGUAUUUGUUCGCCGUGAGGAGCAAUGGAGCAUUGCACACUUACCUAUGUACUCCCUCCGUAAAGAAAUAUAAGAGCAUGUAGAUCACUAAAGUAGUGAUCUAAAUGCUCUUAUAUUUCUUUACAGAGGGUGUAUAUUGAUACCUGGUUAUGUUGGUCUUUCGUAUAAAGGCCUUGCUAUCAUUAUGUAUGGUCCUUCUUACCUAAUGUGUAUUAUGAAUGGGAUUUCAACAUGUGGAAUGUAUUCCUAAUCCUGGUCUAUAGAACUGCCUUUCUGAACUUGAUGUCUCAGUUGUACUUGAACAAGAGCCACCUCGGCGACAGGAACAGGGAAAAUCCAGUCCAAGGUGCCACCAAUGAACAAGGCCUGGCACAUUCUGUUUCCAAAUAUAUUAUACCUAUCUAAUCGUUUGGCGUCUCAAGCACAAGAGCAUGAGGUGUUUGCACCAAUUGUUUUCUUCACACCACGGCCAUGACUUUGAUCAUCGAUGGACAUCACCGAUCACCUAUUCUAACUCUGGCAAGUACCCGGUGAUAUAUGAAGCCACCAGCUCUUGUGAUGUACCAUGUAAACAACCGUGUGAUCUCCCUCUUCUUUUGUGAACACUGCCUCUUUGCCGCAUCUAUCCAUUCUUUUGUACUCAAUAUCUACCUUGUACGAAUAUUGCAUAGAUGGACACUGCAUCAUUCAAUUUACCAUGUAUGAACA